AAUAAGCGUGGCCUUGAGUUUUCAUGUCCAACUUUGAUCGUUUGUUUUAUUUAAAAAAAUUUAUGAUUAUUAUUUUUAUUAUUAUUAUAUUAUAAAACAUGAAUAGUAUUUUAUGCGAUAUUUAUGUUUUUUUAGUUUUUUUUAAAAAAAUUAAAUAAGACGGACGAUUAAACUUGGACACGGAAACUCAUGGCUGCGCUUAUU
rfam:Oryza glumipatula chromosome 8, whole genome shotgun sequence.